UACAGAGGUCUCAAGCGUUGUUCGGAUUCAUUGGGCGUAAAGGGUGUGUAGGUGGCGCGCUAAGUCGGGUGUGAAAUUUCGGAGCUUAACUCCGAAACUGCAUUCGAUACUGGCGUGCUUGAGGACUGGAGAGGAGACUGGAAUUUACGGUGUAGCAGUGAAAUGCGUAGAUAUCGUAAGGAAGACCAGUGGCGAAGGCGGGUCUCCUGGA
rnacentral:rRNA from 1 species